rnacentral:rRNA from 1 species
UCGAAAGAUGUGCUACUACCGCAUAUUCUCUGAGGAGGAAAGUAGGGGAUCGAAAGACCUUCUGCUUUUGGAGCGGCCGAUGUCUGAUUAGCUAGUUGGUAAGGUAAUGGCUUACCAAGGCGACGAUCAGUAGUUGGUCUGAGAGGACGGCCAGCCACACUGGGACUGAGACACGGCCCAGACUCCUACGGGAGGCAGCAGUGGGGAAUUUUGGACAAUGGGCGCAAGCCUGACCCAGCAAUGCCGCGUGAGUGCAGAAGGCCUUCGGGUUGUAAAGCUCUUGCAGUAGAGAUGAAGAGGUUGUGACUAAUAAUCAUAACUCAUGACGGUAUCGACAGAAGAAGCACCGGCUAACUACGUGCCAGCAGCCGCGGUAAUACGUAGGGUGCGAGCGUUAAUCGGAAUUACUGGGCGUAAAGGGUGCGCAGGCGGUUCUGUAAGUCAGAUGUGAAAUCCCCGGGCUUAACCUGGGAACUGC